GGCCCGAAUAGUGUAGCCUGGUAACAUAUGGGACUGUGGAUCCUCUGUGCCGGGUUCAAAUCCCGGUUCGGGCCUC
rnacentral:tRNA from 1 species